AUGCAAGUCGAACGGUAGAGGGGGCAACCCCUUGAGAGUGGCGAACGGGUGAGUAAUAUAUCGGAACGUGCCCAGUCGUGGGGGAUAACGUAGCGAAAGUUACGCUAAUACCGCAUACGAUCUAAGGAUGAAAGCGGGGGAUCGCAAGACCUCGCGCGAUUGGAGCGGCCGAUAUCAGAUUAGGUAGUUGGUGGGGUAAAGGCUCACCAAGCCAACGAUCUGUAGCUGGUCUGAGAGGACGACCAGCCACACUGGAACUGAGACACGGUCCAGACUCCUACGGGAGGCAGCAGUGGGGAAUAUUGGACAAUGGGCGCAAGCCUGAUCCAGCCAUGCCGCGUGUGUGAAGAAGGCCUUCGGGUUGUAAAGCACUUUUGUUGGGAAAGAAAAGCAGCCGGUUAAUACCCGGUUGUUCUGACGGUACCCAAAGAAUAAGCACCGGCUAACUUCGUGCCAGCAGCCGCGGUAAUACGAAGGGUGCAAGCGUUACUCGGAAUUACUGGGCGUAAAGCGUGCGUAGGUGGUUUGUUAAGUCAGAUGUGAAAGCCCCGGGCUCAACCUGGGAAUUGCAUUUGAUACUGGCAGACUAGAGUGCGGUAGAGGAGAGUGGAAUUCCCGGUGUAGCAGUGAAAUGCGUAGAGAUCGGGAGGAACAUCAGUUGCGGAGGCGGCUCUCUGGACCAGCACUGACACUGAGGCACGAAAGCGUGGGGAGCAAACAGGAUUAGAUACCCUGGUAGUCCACGCCCUAAACGAUGCGAACUGGACGUUGGGUGCAAUUGAGCAUUCAGUGUCGAAGCUAACGCGUUAAGUUCGCCGCCUGGGGAGUACGGUCGCAAGACUGAAACUCAAAGGAAUUGACGGGGGCCCGCACAAGCGGUGGAGUAUGUGGUUUAAUUCGAUGCAACGCGAAGAACCUUACCUGGUCUUGACAUGUCGAGAAGUCUGCAGAGAUGCGGAUGUGCCU
rnacentral:rRNA from 1 species